UUUUGGGAUAAUUUCCUUAUUCUUCGGAGUUUCUUGGAAGAUUUCCCGAUUUGAGUUGAUCCUUCGAGAUUCUUCCCUAUCAUUUCCAGGUCUAUCGGAAAUGAUCCUUUUUUUUCGGAAAUGAUGCCUUGCUUGGAAAUGGUACUUUGAAGACGAAUAUUUACUAAGUCUUUGCCUCGGGCGGUUGAUGAUUUCGCCUCGGGUGUCUUACGGUCUCGCCUCGGGUGAUUCGGAGACUUCCUGGUGUUCGGCUCGGACAAACAAUGUGACAUUAUGCCCGAGCCGAAAUAUUUGCCGGGCUCGGGUAUUCGUAGGAGGAACGGGCUUAGGAACCCGAACCGUGGAUGGGUUCGGUCGUUCGGACGUCGAAAAGAAUCGGCUCGGUUGACUGAAUCGUGAACGGGUUCGGUUGUCCGAGUCGGGCUCGGGUAUUGGAUUGACGGGCUCGGGUACCCAAGUUGGUUGGCAGUCCCGAGCCGGCAGUGAGGAUAUCCGAACCGAUCCGUGCGGGAUUCUGAGAUGUUUGGUCAGAGUUCCCCGAGCUGAUUUGGUGAUAGGUCCCGAGGCGUUGUCAUAGCUCGGACUUAACGCGGGUGGAAUCCGACCCCAACAAUAUGUAAGGCUAAGCUUGAUUUUAUUGUUUUGAAACACUGUUAAAUCAUAUUUCUGCCAAGAUGAUGGUUGGAUUCUCUUUUCGACAUCUUAAUGCGUUUCAAGUGAGAUUAUUUUCAGUUGGGGGUUCUUCGUUAUACAGCAUGAUCCAUCAAGAUUAAAAGUAGAAAUUUUUUGCAAGCAGUUAGAUUUUGGCUCUGUAAGACUCUUACCAAGUUGUUGUUUUUUUUAUUGUUUGUUUAUUGUACAUUCAGGUAAAAUUUUGGUUCAGUAGGCAAGAGCAAAUGACGGGUCGUGUUUCCUGCUUCAUGCAGAUAUCUUGGAGGUCCAGAGAACAAAAUUUCGUAAGGUGAUUUUGUCGCCAGGAGCAUGAGAGGUCAGAUAUCUCUCCCUCUAUUCUCAUAUCUAAUUUGUCAUGCAUAGGUUCUCUGGGUCAUCUCACCAGGUUAUUUUCAUUUGAUUAGCUUGUUUUGAUUACUCACACUAUCUGAAAAUACACGCGUUCACAGACACGAAAAACACACAAAUACAAUGCACUCAAACUCAAAACACACCGAAAUACAACAAAACUCAAAACACUACAAAAAAAAUCACAUCACACGCAACAAAACUCAAAACACUACAAAAAAAAUCACAUCACACGCAACAAAACUUUAAACACUCUCAAACACAAGAAAUAAAAUACAGCACACCACAAAACUAGACACAAGAAAGAAAGAAGACAAUAAAUAACUUACGAUUAAUAUCUUUCUUUUUUUUUUAUUGUUAAGAACUCUGAGAUUAUGUUGCCAAGUCAAUUUCAGGUGAAGUAUCUCUCUCUUCCCAUUUUUCUUUCUUUUCUUAGUCUUUUACUACUAUGAAUCAUUUUGUUGGUCACAUUGAAUCUAAUUACUUUUUAUGCUGCUCUAAAAGUGAGAUUCAAGCGAGUACAAGCGAAAACAGUGUCCUGCAUACAAAAGUAAAGGGGUAAUCAAUAUAUUUACUUAGAUAUGUUUCGUACUGUGAUUUCUUGUGAAGGGAUACUAAGAGUUUUAAGGUGAUGAUUCAAAAUCCAAGAAAAACACUAAGAGUUUUAAGGUGAAGUUUCUCCAUUUCUUCUCAUCUACUUUUGCUUCAUUCACAAUUAUCAAAAUGUUCAAUAUUUCAGCUGUAGACAUUGUUUCCUUGCCAAGAUUAACAGGAGCAACGCAGUCGAAUCCCGGCUUUGAUCAUACUUAGUAAGAUUUCGAAUGGAGGACUCUUAAGCUGAAAAUAACUUAACUUAGGAAAGUAAUUCAAUUGCCUCGGAAGAAGGAAGGAUCAGGUAGAUAAACUGUCUUGAUCCCUUUUUGUAGUUUUUUUUUUUAUGGUCUUGUGUAUAUAGUAUACUGCUAGCAUAAUGGUUUUGUACCAGGGUAAAGGAUUCUUAAGAGGAAAAAUAACACAAUUUAAGAAAACCAUUCAGUCUCCCUGAAAGAAGGGUCAGAUGUGAGUCCAUGACAAGGAACGAGAAUAGAAUUCUUCUUCUUGUAAGGAAUGGAGAUCCCGGAAGUGAUCGCCUGAGAAAGAGCAUCCAUGGCUAAGAUUCCGAUCUGAUCUUUUGCUUAGUUUUCUCAGUCAAUUGAGUUUUUUUCUUUUUUGGAGGGAGUUUUUGAAAAAUUUACAAAAAAAAAAAAAACACACAACAAGUGAGUGAGAGAAGAGAGACAAGUUGUUUAGAUCUCUCGCUCUCUAUACAGUACUUGGCUCUUUAGAAACGAACAAGUACGAAACAAGUCUAACUUCAUUUUGUCUGUAAUUUUUGUCAUGCCUGUAAAAUCUUCUUCAUCAAAAUUAGUGGUUAAUCUUAUUCGAA